rnacentral:rRNA from 1 species
CAGCAGCCGCGGUAAUACGUAGGUGGCAAGCGUUGUCCGGAAUUAUUGGGCGUACAGGGCUCGCAGGCGGUUUCUUAAGUCUGAUGUGAAAGCCCCCGGCUCAACCGGGGAGGGUCAUUGGAAACUGGGAAACUUGAGUGCAGAAGAGAAGAGUGGAAUUCCACGUGUAGCGGUGAAAUGCGUAGAGAUGUGGAGGAACACCAGUGGCGAAGGCGACUCUCUGGUCUGUAACUGACGCUGAGGAGCGAAAGCGUGGGGAGCGAACAGGAUUAGAUACCCGAGUAGUCCCUGUCUCUUAUAC